rnacentral:rRNA from 1 species
AGUGAACGCUGGCGGUAGGCCUAACACAUGCAAGUCGGACGGCAGCACAGUAAGAGCUUGCUCUUACGGGUGGCGAGUGGCGGACGGGUGAGGAAUACAUCGGAAUCUACUUUUUCGUGGGGGAUAACGUAGGGAAACUUACGCUAAUACCGCAUACGACCUACGGGUGAAAGCAGGGGAUCUUCGGACCUUGCGCGAUUGAAUGAGCCGAUGUCGGAUUAGCUAGUUGGCGGGGUAAAGGCCCACCAAGGCGACGAUCCGUAGCUGGUCUGAGAGGAUGAUCAGCCACACUGGAACUGAGACACGGUCCAGACUCCUACGGGAGGCAGCAGUGGGGAAUAUUGGACAAUGGGCGCAAGCCUGAUCCAGCCAUACCGCGUGGGUGAAGAAGGCCUUCGGGUUGUAAAGCCCCUUUGUUGGGAAAGAAAAGCAGCAGGUUAAUACCCCGCUGUUCUGACGGUACCCAAAGAAUAAGCACCGGCUAACUUCGUG